AUGGGCCGUGGUUGCCGUGCCCUUACCACCUUCGUGCAGCCCGCCUGCCAGAAGUUAGAUCACGCGGAGCCGAUUGUCUCGCGCCACGGCCUCCUACUUGUGCGCCUUCCCUCUCAUGACACGAGGGUCGUCCACCUGGCGGUGUGCGAUCUGCUCGUCGGCGAGUGCCACGUGCUCCCACUUCUAAAGUGCGGCCAUGUCGACCCCCUCCACAUGGACUGGAGUGGGUACGCUAUUUUGAGUGGUGUGGAUAGCUGCUCGCACAACGAGCAGCCACCACCGAGCAACUAUGCGUCCUCCUUCAAAGUGGUAAUCAUCGACUCCGAUUACAAUCUCUACACGUUCUCAUCCCAUAAAGGGAGCUGGAGCACGGCGACCAGGUGCUUCGGUGAUGAGGCUACCAGAAACUAUACCGCGGUUUAUCAUGGCCCUGCCGUCGUGUGCCACGGCACGGCACACUGGCUCUUUUACGAUGGGAUGAUGCUAGACUUAUGCAUUGUUGGUAUGGAAGCUAAGACGGGCCACGUCACCUUGACAAGGAUCCCAUUUGAGCAUGAGAUGUCGCCCGUGCCUUACCCUCUCCACCGAUGGGACACUUUCGCUAAUCUAUAUCGACAGGGAAGGGCCCCAGGUAGUGAUCUGGGAAAUUGUGGACGAGACUACAAAUUGCCUCUGCACUCGGAGUAUCGAGUUAAAAGAACCAGGCAAGAAGCUUACUCAAAGCAUAUCAAGCUUGCACAUGUUAGGAGAAAAGUACGGGACGAUGAUUGCCGGGGGCAGUAG
rnacentral:rRNA from 1 species